rnacentral:rRNA from 1 species
AACGAACGCUGGCGGCAGGCCUAACACAUGCAAGUCGAACGCUCGUAGCAAUACGAGAGUGGCAGACGGGUGAGUAACACGUGGGAACCUUCCCUAUGGUUCGGAAUAGCUCAGGGAAACUUGAGGUAAUACCGGAUAAGCCCUUCGGGGAAGAUUAUCGCCAUUGGAUGGGCCCGCGUCGGAUUAGCUAGUUGGUGAGGUAACGGCUCACCAAGGCGACGAUCCGUAGCUGGUCNGAGGGGAUGAUCAGCCACACUGGGACUGAGACACGGCCCAGACUCCUACGGGAGGCAGCAGUGGGGAAUAUUGGACAAUGGGCGCAAGCCUGAUCCAGCCAUGCCGCGUGAGUGACGAAGGUCUUCGGAUUGUAAAGCUCUUUUGGCGGGGACGAUAAUGACGGUACCCGCAGAAUAAGCCCCGCUAACUUCGUGCCAGCAGCAGCCGCGGUAAC